rnacentral:rRNA from 1 species
GGAAUAUUGCACAAUGGGCGCAAGCCUGAUGCAGCGACGCCGCGUGCGGGAUGGAGGCCUUCGGGUUGGUAAACCGCUUUUGAUCGGGAGCAAGCCCUUCGGGGUGAGUGUACCUUUCGAAUAAGCACCGGCUAACUACGUGCCAGCAGCCGCGGUAAUACGUAGGGUGCAAGCGUUAUCCGGAAUUAUUGGGCGUAAAGGGCUCGUAGGCGGUUCGUCGCGUCCGGUGUGAAAGCCCAUCGCUUAACGGUGGGUCUGCGCCGGGUACGGGCGGGCUGGAGUGCGGUAGGGGAGACUGGAAUUCCCGGUGUAACGGUGGAAUGUGUAGAUAUCGGGAAGAACACCAAUGGCGAAGGCAGGUCUCUGGGCCGUCACUGACGCUGAGGAGCGAAAGCGUGGGGAGCGAACAGGAUUAGAUACCCUGGUAGUCCACGCCGUAAACGGUGGAUGCUGGAUGUGGGGCCCGUUCCACGGGUUCCGUGUCGGAGCUAACGCGUUAAGCAUCCCGCCUGGGGAGUACGGCCGCAAGGCUAAAACUCAAAGAAAUUGACGGGGGCCCGCACAAGCGGCGGAGCAUGCGGAUUAAUUCGAUGCAACGCGAAGAACCUUACCUGGGCUUGACAUGUUCCCGACAGCCGUAGAGAUAUGGCCUCCCUUCGGGGCGGGUUCACAGGUGGUGCAUGGUCGUCGUCAGCUCGUGUCGUGAGAUGUUGGGUUAAGUCCCGCAACGAGCGCAACCCUCGCCCUGUGUUGCCAGCACGUCAUGGUGGGAACUCACGGGGGACCGCCGGGGUCAACUCGGAGGAAGGUGGGGAUGACGUCAGAUCAUCAUGCCCCUUACGUCCAGGGCUUCACGCAUGCUACAAUGGCCGGUACAGCGGGAUGCGACAUGGCGA